UACGUAGGGGGCAAGCGUUGUCCGGAAUCAUUGGGCGUAAAGAGCGUGUAGGCGGUUCGGUAAGUCGGCUGUGAAAGUCCAGGGCUCAACCCUGGGAUGCCGGUGGAUACUGCCGGGCUAGAGUCCGGAAGAGGCGAGUGGAAUUCCUGGUGUAGCGGUGGAAUGCGCAGAUAUCAGGAGGAACACCCAACGGCGAAGGCAGCUCGCUGGGACGGUACUGACACUGAGGCGCGAAAGCGUGGGGGAGCGAACAGG
rnacentral:rRNA from 1 species